rnacentral:rRNA from 1 species
CAGAGGUGGCUAGCGUUGCUCGGUAUCACUGGGCUUAAAGGGCGCGUAGGCGGUGCGGUACGGUUUCGGUGAAAUCCCUCGGCCCAACCGAAGAACAGCCGGGACUACGGCCGCACUCGACGGCAUCAGGGGACAGUGGAACUCCCGGUGGAGCGGUGAAAUGCGUAGAUAUCGGGAGGAACGCCGGUGGCGAAAGCGACUGUCUGGGGUGCUUGUGACGCUGAGGCGCGAAAGCCAGGGGAUCAAACGGGAUUAGAUACCCCGGUAGUCCUGGCCCUAAACGAUGCGCACUAGGUAGCGGGAGGUUCCGACUUCCCGCUGCCGGAGUAAAAAUCUUAAGUGCGCCGCCAGGGGAGUACGGCCGCAAGGUUA